UGCAGUCGACGGUAACAGGUCUUCGGACGCUGACGAGUGGCGAACGGGUGAGUAACACAUCGGAACGUGCCUAGUAGUGGGGGAUAACUACUCGAAAGAGUAGCUAAUACCGCAUGAGAUCCAAGGAUGAAAGCAGGGGACCUUCGGGCCUUGCGCUACUAGAGCGGCUGAUGGCAGAUUAGGUAGUUGGUGGGAUAAAAGCUUACCAAGCCGACGAUCUGUAGCUGGUCUGAGAGGACGACCAGCCACACUGGGACUGAGACACGGCCCAGACUCCUACGGGAGGCAGCAGUGGGGAAUUUUGGACAAUGGGCGAAAGCCUGAUCCAGCAAUGCCGCGUGCAGGAUGAAGGCCCUCGGGUUGUAAACUGCUUUUGUACGGAACGAAAAGACUCUCUCUAAUAAAGAGGGUUGAUGACGGUACCGUAAGAAUAAGCACCGGCUAACUACGUGCCAGCAGCCGCGGUAAUACGUAGGGUGCGAGCGUUAAUCGGAAUUACUGGGCGUAAAGCGUGCGCAGGCGGUUAUGUAAGACAGAGGUGAAAUCCCCGGGCUCAACCUGGGAACGGCCUUUGUGACUGCAUGGCUAGAGUGCGGCAGAG
rnacentral:rRNA from 1 species